UCUCCCCUACGGGGGGCAGCAGUGGGGAAUAUUGCACAAUGGGGGGAACCCCGAUGCAGCGACGCCGCGUGGGCGAGGAAGUAUUUCGGUAUGUAAAGCCCUAUCGGCAGGGAAGAAGAAAUGACGGUACCUGAAUAAGAAGCCCCGGCUAACUACGUGCCAGCAGCCGCGGUAAUACGUAGGGGGCAAGCGUUAUCCGGAUUUACUGGGUGUAAAGGGAGCGUAGACGGAAAGGCAAGUCAGAAGUGAAAGCCCAAGGCUCAACCAUGGGACUGCUUUUGAAACUGUCAAACUAGAGUACGGGG
rnacentral:rRNA from 1 species